UACAGAGGUCUCAAGCGUUGUUCGGAAUUACUGGGCGUAAAGGGCGCGUAGGCGGCCUUCUAAGUCAGGAGUGAAAUCCCCGAGCUUAACUUGGGAAGUGCUUUUGAAACUGCAGAGCUUGAGUGUGGGAGAGGAUCGUGGAAUUCCAGGUGUAGUGGUGAAAUACGUAGAUAUCUGGAGGAACACCGGUGGCGAAGGCGGCGAUCUGGCCCAACACUGACACUGAGACCCGAAAGCGUGGGGAUCAAACAGG
rnacentral:rRNA from 1 species